GAUGAACGCUGGCGGCGUGCCUAAUACAUGCAAGUCGAGCGAACGGACGAGAAGCUUGCUUCUCUGAUGUUAGCGGCGGACGGGUGAGUAACACGUGGAUAACCUACCUAUAAGACUGGGAUAACUUCGGGAAACCGGAGCUAAUACCGGAUAAUAUUUUGAACCGCAUGGUUCAAAAGUGACAGACGGUCUUGCUGUCACUUAUAGAUGGAUCCGCGCUGCAUUAGCUAGUUGGUAAGGUAACGGCUUACCAAGGCAACGAUGCAUAGCCGACCUGAGAGGGUGAUCGGCCACACUGGAACUGAGACACGGUCCAGACUCCUACGGGAGGCAGCAGUAGGGAAUCUUCCGCAAUGGGCGAAAGCCUGACGGAGCAACGCCGCGUGAGUGAUGAAGGUCUUCGGAUCGUAAAACUCUGUUAUUAGGGAAGAACAUAUGUGUAAGUAACUGUGCACAUCUUGACGGUACCUAAUCAGAAAGCCACGGCUAACUACGUG
rnacentral:rRNA from 1 species